GCUCUCGUAGAUGAACUGGAACACCGUCCGCUUCGCCUAGUGUCCUAUUGCUGAAGCAUAAGCGGAAGGAGGGGGUUCGAAUCCCCCCGAGAGCA